GCCUAUCAUCCAGUCUGUGCGGUGCAAGGUUAGUUAACAGCUGCCUAGAGAUAGACCUAGAUCUUCCAUGGAAGACUGUUAUGACGCACAGGCAAACGACCAGAUAGUGCCGGGGCCCAGCCCCCCAUACAGUCAACCUGUCUGGACUGGAAUGUGAAGGUGGACUCUAUAUUAUGGAGAUACAUAAUCAGGCCUGGAAAGGCAAACUUUUAAAAUGCUUCUCCUGGAUUUGCAAGAGAAAGUCUUUGGCCUUAAGAAGAUGCUUGUCAGAUGUUUUAAGCACAUCUGGCCUCAGCAUAUAUUCAUCUGAAUGCUGGAAAUCCUUGGUGCCCAUAUUGUUGUUCUGUGGCAUUUUGCUGGCUCUGGUGGCACUCUCUCAGGUGGAUAGACUGCGCAGUUUUGUCUGUGGAAUUUUCAUUCCUCAAUACCACUAUCCCUAUGCAGUGCCACUCACCUUUGUACAGAAUGCCUACCUAGGUCCUGAUCAUCUCCCUGCCGUUGCUGGCCUUGCACGGCGUGGGCCUGAUCUCUCUGCGGCCGUACUCCCUCAGACUCGGGGAACGCAUGCUGGUGCCCACUGUGUGUGGCAGUGCCCAGGCUGUGCUGGAGCUCUGGGCGAAGGCCAGUGCCCACUCGGGACUUUACCCUCUCUUCACAUGCCUGCUGCCUGUCCUAAGUGUGGUAUGGAGUCGCGUCCUGUCGCUGACAGCAAAACCCUCUCUCUACCAGUCAUGUUUACUGGCCGGGGUCACUCUCGGUGCAAUCACUAUAACAGUUGCAAAGGGCAUAUAUUUAGUGGAGACGCUGGAGUGGGUGUACUCGCCUCUUAGUGUGCUGCUGCACAGCCUCUCCCUCGCCUGGAUGGCCAAAGUUGCAGAAGCUGAACGGGGCCACUUGACCGUGUUUGACUGCCACUUUUCCCUGGUGGUGACGCGCUGCAUGGUGCUGGGCUUCCUGUGCCUGCUGCACCCGGAUGGUCCUAGAGCACUGGAAGAGGGUAACUGGCACAGUCUGCUCUUCCUGGGCUACCUACUGGCCAUCCUCCUGCUUGGAGCUCUACAGCACCUCCUUAUUGACAUGACUGCACUGUACUUCUCACCUCUGGCAGCUGCCUUGCUUUACGCUGCUCGAGAGUUGGCUCGUCCCUUUUAUAGUCUGCUGUAAAAGGGAUGGAGGACAAAGAUAAUGUUUAUGGAGCUUUUAUACAAUAAUGCACAGCAAAAGGUCCAAAGCUAAACAACGAUUGGUUUCUUAACAAAGAGAGUGUUGAAAUGUCAAUACUUGGUGAAUGUUGAUGAAUCAAUCAGAAUUUGACAAGUGUACAGAGCUGAUAUGUUUUCUGGAGUAUGUCAGUGGUGAUAUACACUGGUCAUUGCUACCUUCCUGCUACACACUUCUCGUAUCUCUGAAUGUUACACACUCCAAUCACACUGAUGGCUUUGUGGCACAAACACAAAAUGCAUGACAUCUGGGAAGGAGUAAUAAGAGAUUUUGACUUGCAUUAUACACAAAGUACUUUCAAAAGUGUGUAACUACAUGUAGAGAUGGAGUUGGAAAUUUUCACAUUCUGAAUUCUUUCGCUGGCAGAAAGUAGAGUGAGAACUCCGAGCCUGAAGCCUAAGCUAGAACAUAGGGACUACUGCAGGUUAUAAGUAGAUAUGAAGUGUAACUGGCAGGUAUAGACAGAACUCAAGAGGUGUUUAAACAUACCAAACCCAAUUUGAAAAAAGUUUUCGACAUUUUACCACAGGUAUUAAUAGUGCUAUUGACCAUUGUCUGUUUUCGCUUAAUAAUUUAGCCAAAUCUGCUCGAGCAUGAGAUAACCCAAGGUUAGCACAAGUCCAAAUGUACUGUUUCAAGGGAAUGCUCUGGUAGAUAACAAACUCCAGCAGAAAAGAAAAAAUACAGUGCAAAAUAAUUUAUUUAUUAUACUUGUCAGACUGUACAGAAAACAGUAGAAGACCAAGAACUAAAUUGCAGCGGUUUUGGUUCACAAGAAUCAAUGUACUGAGUUGAUGUGAAAUAGAACAGCACCACUCUGACUUAUUUGUCACAGUUGUUUGUUCAUUCUCCUACAGCUUAUAAGGGAAGCAUGGUGUUCAUUGUGAGAAACAUGAUGGAGGCCUCAUGAGGCAGACCUGCUUUAGUGCUAGAUCUGCUGUUAGCUUUUGUUCGCUCAGCAGUCCAUGUGUAAGUGCUUGGUUACAUUGAGUGCUUUCUGCUGACGGACAUGGACAACACAUCUGGUUGACUUUGGGAGAACUGUGACAUUUGAGCAAGUCACCCAAAAUCAGGGUUGGUCUGAAUUUGCUGGAAGACGGAUGCCCAAGCUCUGCAACAGGUUUGAUGCAGGCCCUGCUAAGCCUUCCUGUGAAGCCAGGGACUCUAGUAAAUUGGUGACCAGGUUAAGGUCCACAUCCAGAGGCUGAAUCUCAUCUUCCUGUUCAGUGCUGGGAUGAGCUUUGGAGGUUUCAGAUGAGUUUGCUUCCUAAUAUGAAGGGAAAAGAAUACAGACUUAUUCCAACUACAGAUGCAGUAUGGAACUACAAUUUAACAAUGUAAAUGUCACUAUUUUGGAAAUGCACAUAUGUUGAUCCCUUUAACAUAACUUUUACAUUGUGCGCAUCACUUCAUUUACGGAACUGAGGAAAAUUAAGAGUACCCACUUUUUCAGACUGCACGAAACUCUUUCCGAUGUUUGUGCCUCCGAGUUCUUGGUCCAUUUGGUCCAUGUAGCUCUUCAGACUGUUAAGGGCUUCAGCUCCAGACUGCUUUGGAGGACCAGAGAAGCCAAGAGCCUCCUCCUCUUCCUCAUCAUCAUCAUCAUCAUCCUCCAAAUCAUCGGAGUCCAAUUCAUCAUCCUUGGCUCCUGGUAGAGUGAAUGGACAGUAUUUUACACAAUGGUCCAAACUCGUUCUCAUUUGGCCUUGUGCUUAAACCUGUAACCACGCACCUCCACUACUGUACCAUCAUCUCUGCAACACCAGCACAUAAAAGUCGAUGCCUAUUUAGUAUUUCUGCUAGUAGCUAGCUUGGCUUCCCCCAGGUUACUAGAAAACAUGCUUUCUCAACCUGCCAAACUAUUCUGCCCAUAGACUUUAAACUCAGCAACAGCAUGAUCAAUAAAUAACUGGGAGAGGUUUACCCAAGCUUGGUUAUGGCAAGCUUUGUGCUCAACUGAUAAGGACGUUAACCCCCUGACCAUUUACACCUACCGAGGAGUCUGUCCAGAGCACUUGUCACAGUGUCCGCAUCAAAGCUAAAGGGUUCAUUAGACUGAGACCUGGAAAAAAAAGACAAUAAAACAGAUUUUAUCUUUUUAGAUUUAACUAGAUUUUAUAGACCUUAUCUUCUCAUUAGAAAUACACAAAAGUAAAAGCAUACUUCUACCUCACUCUAGGAAAUACAUAAAAAAUACUUCUGCAGUUACAAUUGUUACAAUGUUAUUAUGUAAUAGGGCUGCUCAAUUAUGGCAAAAAUCAUAAUCAUUUGGUCAAAAUUGUAAUCACGAUUAUUGAUUAACGAUUAUUCGAUUAUUGAUGUUAGCCUUCUUGUGAUACUUAAAAUAUUACGAGAAGGUGAACAGGCACGACCAACAUGACUCGUCAUAAAAUAUCACGAGAAGGCGAACAGGCACGACCAGCCGCGAGCAUUUGAUAAGGGACAUCAUGGGUGGUAAAGAGUUAAAUUAUUAACAUUUUGUAAAUAAGCGGGUCGGAUCACAGGUCGGGUAUCAUUUUGUCUUAAUUAAUAUUCACGGUCCGAGUUGCGGUCGGGUUGGUUUAAAUACCAGGCGAGCUUGAGACCAGACCCGCGCACCACUGUUACACACACAACCCAAACUGCUCGAGUGGCCUGUGCACAGCGGGGAGGGGCGUGUCGAGUGCGUGGCUUAAAGAAGCAGCAUGAAUCAGUGCGCUGUAGGAGUUGAAAUUGUACGUAUUUCAAAAAAAAAAUCUUAAUGGAAUGUCGCAAAAAAUCGUUUUUUCUCGAUUUUACUAUUUUUGUGAUUGUUUGGAGCCAAAAUCGAGAUUGAAAUUGAAGUUUGAUUAAUUGCACAGCCCUAUUAUGUAAUGUGCAAUAUAGUCAUGCUUUCUGAUGUUAGUCUCUGAGACUUACCAGGGUAGUUCUGCUCCUUCGUAUGAGGACAUGGUAUUGAUGAAGUUCUUCAUCCCCUGAGUGACUGCAACUAGGCUGUAGCCGGCCUCCUGCUCAGCCUCUUCCUCUGCCCCAGCUGACCCUCUCUCUCCGGGCUGGGUUCUGCUCUGGGCCUCCGUCCUGCCCAAGCCCCCGCCACGGCCAGCUCUCUCCUGCAGGAUCUGCUCCAGGUCUUGAGGGGUGAGGUCAAGCCAGCCGUCACCUAUGAGUGGGUACAGACUCACAGUCAGUGGCUGUAUCCACCAUACAACUUGUGCUGUAGUGCACUAGUAUCAAUCAAAAAGUAUAGGUUAAUGCCCUAAUCAGAAUUUGAAUUUGAACCCAUGACCUUGAGCACUUAAUGACCUUAUGAAUGUGUUUAAGUCCCUGAAUAUGUGUAGGAGAAAACUGUGUGUGUGGAUGUAGCAAAGGAAGAGAGCAGUCACCACACCCAGCCUUGAUCCCGGGGCAUCAAACCUGCAGCUUGACCACAAAGCCAAAGAGCCAGGCUCGAUGGCAUGGCAGUCAGAGUGCAUACUCAACCGCAGUGACGGUACUCACUGCAAUUUUGACCUUUAACCCCAUGACACUGAAGGAGAAAUUUUGGAUUACUAACAUUUUUAUGAAAUAGAAGUGAUUAUUAAUAAGUUUAUAUGUAUUAGAAGUGAAUACUAAUCUACAUUUAUUACAUAUAAGUGAUUAACAUUUCAUUUUUAUAUAUUCUGUGUAUGCUUUCUAUACAUUCGAUACUGUGCAUCAACUUUGCUUUGUCUGUCAUUUGCUCUCUCCAUGUCACGACUUUCUAAUAAAGGUCAUGCGACCC